AAACACAACUCCAUCUCCCAAAAUCCCUUAACCUAAAAUUCCUAAACCUAACUUCAUCAAGAAAACUAUUACGUCAAAGAACAAUUAUGCAUCGCAUAUCUGAACUUCGAUUUCCUGGAGUUUGUGGAUGCUAGGUGAUUUUUGUCCGAACCUAAUUCCAAAACUCUCCCUUAAGUUUGUUUUGAAUCUAUUCUUCAAUGGUGAUUGGAAGUUAAGUAUCAACCAGAAGCAGAAGCAUCUAGCCAUAAUUUAGAUGAAUUGUCCAAGAGAGUUUAUUUCUUCAGAAACGGCAAGUCCAUUGAAUCUAAACUCAUAUGAGGUUGGCACUUU